CUACCCGGGUAUCUAAUCCUGUUUGCUCCCCACGCUGUCGUGCUUGAGCGUCAGUGCCGGACCAGUGGGCCGCCUUCGCCACCGGUGUUCUUGCGAAUAUCUACGAAUUUCACCUCUACACUCGCAGUUCCACCCACCUCUUCCGGACUCAAGAUCCACAGUAUCAAAGGCCGUUCCGGGGUUGAGCCCCGGCAUUUCACCCCUGACUCAUGGACCCGCCUGCGCACCCUUUACGCCCAGUGAUUCCGAACAACGCUAGCCCCCUUCGUAUUACCGCGGCUGCUGGCAC
rnacentral:rRNA from 1 species